CCAUCAGAUCAUCAAACCCAAAAUAAAUAACUGAGAAUAAAUUAGUCAAAAAAUAUGGCUAAGAAGAUAGAAAUUAUUCCAUUAAUGACAAUUAUGGUGAUGCUAAUUUUGAUCUUUAAUUCAAAAUUAGUAUAUUGUAAAUUCGAUGAAUAUUGUUUUAAGGAGUGUAUUCGUGGAUGUGUGGGACAAAAACCUGAAUGUUACUUAGUAUGUGAAAGGGUAUGUAGGAAUUCUCUCAUGAAUAGUUCUUCUCCAAUGCACUAUUGCACCCUUAGUUGUGCAAUUCACAAGUGUGCAAGUUUAAUCAAAGAUGACAAACAUUGGAAAAAUUGCAUAAAUGAUUGUUUCAACAAUUAUUGCAAAAAUUAGAGCUUAAAGGAUACAUAGUCUUCAAUGCUUCGUCCUAUGAUGUUAGUAUUGUAAAAUAAAAGCUAAUCAAUGAAAUUCCUGCCAGCAUUUCAAUAGUA